CCUACGGGAGGCAGCAGUGGGGAAUAUUGGGCAAUGGAGGAAACUCUGACCCAGCAACGCCGCGUGAAGGAUGAAGGUUUUCGGAUUGUAAACUUCUUUCGCGAGGGAUGAAGACUGUUGGUACCUCGUACGAAAUCCCCGGCAAACUACGCGCCAGCAGCCGCGGUAAUACGUAGGGGGCGAGCGUUGUCCGGAAUGACUGGGCGUAAAGGGAGUGUAGGCGGGAAAUUAAGUUAUGUGUGAAAGCCCGCGGCUCAACCGCGGAAUUGCACAUAAAACUGGUAAGCUGGAGUGCAGUAGAGGUAAGUGGAAUUCCAGGUGUAGCGGUGGAAUGCGUAGAGAUCGGGAGGAACACCAGAGGCGAAGGCGACUUACUGGACUGUAACUGACGCUGAGGUGCGAAAGCGUGGGGAGCAAACAGGAUUAGAUACCCCUGUAGUC
rnacentral:rRNA from 1 species